rnacentral:rRNA from 1 species
UACGAAGGGUGCAAGCGUUAGUCGGAAUUACUGGGCGUAAAGCGUGCGUAGGUGGUCUCUUAAGUCCGUUGUGAAAGCCCUGGGCUCAACCUGGGAACUGCAGUGGAUACUGAGAAGCUAGAGUGUGUCAGAGGAUGGUGGAAUUCCCGGUGUAGCGGUGAAAUGCGCAGAUAUCGGGAGGAACACCAAUAGCGAAGGCAGCUCGCUGGGACGGUAUUGACGCUAAGGCGCGAAAGCGUGGGGAGCAAACAGG